rnacentral:ncRNA from 1 species
AAUAAAUAAGGACGGAACAGGCGGCUGUCGCCAGAAAACUAUAUGGUUUGAUUAGGAGAUGUUGGAUCGCCACCCAGCUAUUUAUU